UCGGAUUAGCUAGUUGGUGAGGUAAUGGCUCACCAAGGCGACGAUCCGUAACUGGUCUGAGAGGAUGAUCAGUCACACUGGAACUGAGACACGGUCCAGACUCCUACGGGAGGCAGCAGUGGGGAAUAUUGGACAAUGGGCGAAAGCCUGAUCCAGCCAUGCCGCGUGUGUGAAGAAGGUCUUCGGAUUGUAAAGCACUUUAAGUUGGGAGGAAGGGUUGUAGAUUAAUACUCUGCUGUUUUGACGUUACCGACAGAAUAAGCACCGGCUAACUCUGUGCCAGCAGCCGCGGUAAUACA
rnacentral:rRNA from 1 species